AGGUUUCAUGCACAUUAAAUACGGUGACACAUCAGCAUAUGUGAUGACAUGGCAUGAUAGUUAUGAAGUGAGAGAGGGAAGGAGUUUCAUCAGGAUGAAACUGUGUAUACACUGUUUCCAAGACUAUGAAACCUAUUGAAACUUGCAUUGGGGGCUAUAGAGUUUCAUUUCAUCUAACCAUAUCCAAUCACAUGCCUCAAUGGGCAUCCUAUGAAAUCGUGAAAUGAAACUGUGCACUGGGACUACCUGUUUCAUUCAUAAGAAUACACCUUAUGGGAUGAUGUGGCAUCCUUGAAAAUAAUGCAAUAAAACCUUGCACUGGGACUAGUCUAAAAUCCAAUGAAACUUGCACUAAGCAUGCUAUGGUUUCAUGGUAUGACAUAUUUAAUCAUAGUACAACGCAAAACUUUAAAUGAUUUAUGC
rnacentral:lncRNA from 1 species